UACAGAGGUCCCAAGCGUUGUUCGGAUUCACUGGGCGUAAAGGGUGCGUAGGUGGCGGGGUAAGUUUGAUGUGAAAUCUCCGGGCUUAACCCGGAAAUGGCAUUGAAUACUAUUCUGCUGGAGGUUGGAGGGGGGACUGGAAUUCUCGGUGUAGCAGUGAAAUGCGUAGAUAUCGAGAGGAACACCAGUGGCGAAGGCGAGUCCCUGGACAACACCUGACACUGAGGCACGAAAGCUAGGGGAGCAAACAGG
rnacentral:rRNA from 1 species